rnacentral:rRNA from 1 species
UAGGGAAUAUUGGACAAUGGAUGGAAAUCUGAUCCAGCCAUGCCGCGUGCAGGAAGACGGCCCUAUGGGUUGUAAACUGCUUUUGUAUGGGAGCAAUAAGGUCUAUGCGUAGACUGAUGAGAGUACCAUACGAAUAAGCAUCGGCUAACUCCGUGCCAGCAGCCGCGGUAAUACGGGGGAUGCAAGCGUUAUCCGGAUUUAUUGGGUUUAAAGGGUGCGUAGGCGGUUUGAUAAGUCAGCGGUGAAAUAUUUCAGCUUAACUGAAAGGGUGCCGUUGAUACUUUCAGGCUUGAAUAUGGUUGCUGUGGGUGGAAAGUGUGGUGUAGCGGUAAAAUGCUUAGAUAUCACACAGAAUAUCGAUUGCGAAGGCAGCGCACAAAGCCAUUAUUGACGCGGAUGCACGAAAGUGUGGUGAUCAAACA